GAUGAACGCUGGCGGCGUGCCUAAUACAUGCAAGUCGAGCGAACAGAUGAGGAGCUUGCUCCUCUGACGUUAGCGGCGGACGGGUGAGUAACACGUGGAUAACCUACCUAUAAGACUGGGAUAACUUCGGGAAACCGGAGCUAAUACCGGAUAAUAUAUUGAACCGCAUGGUUCAAUAGUGAAAGACGGUUUUGCUGUCACUUAUAGAUGGAUCCGCGCCGCAUUAGCUAGUUGGUAAGGUAACGGCUUACCAAGGCAACGAUGCGUAGCCGACCUGAGAGGAGGAUCGCCCAUGCAGGAAAGGAGACACGGUCCAGAAACCGACGGGAGGCAGCAGCAGGGAGACUGCCGGAAGUGGCGAAAGCCAGACGGAGCAAAGACGCGGAAGUGAUGAAGGUCUUCUGAGCGUAAAACGCUGGUAGUAGGGAAGAACAGAAGUGUAAGGAACGGUGCACAUCGUGACGGUACCUAAUCAGAAAGCAACGGCUAACUACGU
rnacentral:rRNA from 1 species